rnacentral:sRNA from 2 species
UCACCGAAACCGGAGGACACCAUGAAGUUCAAGCACAUUCUGAUGCUCACCCUGGGUGCGGCCGCAGUGGCGGCGCUUCCUGCCAUGGCCCAGGCCGCUCCGCAGCAGACCGGUCAGGGCGCCGCCGCGCAGAAGGCCGACGACGCCAAGGCCAAGACCGAAGCCGAGCGCAAGGCAGAGCGCCGUGCCGCCGCUGCUGCACAGAAGCCCAAGGCCGAUGCCGCGCUGCCCGAGGAAGAGGAAGAAAAGAAGCCGGCGCGCUGAUCGCGCUGCGCAUCGGCUGGCUUCACAUCGGUCAUCUGCUCACAAACGCCCCGGCCCAGGUCGGGGCGUCUGCAUUUGCGACCCACGCGGCG